UACGUAGGGUGCAAGCGUUGUCCGGAAUUAUUGGGCGUAAAGAGCUCGUAGGCGGUUCGUCGCGUCGGCUGUGAAAACCCGGAGCUCAACUCCGGGCCUGCAGUCGAUACGGGCGGACUGGAGUGUUGCAGGGGAGACUGGAAUUCCUGGUGUAGCGGUGAAAUGCGCAGAUAUCAGGAGGAACACCGGUGGCGAAGGCGGGUCUCUGGGCCGAUACUGACGCUGAGGAGCGAAGGCGUGGGGAGCGAACAGG
rnacentral:rRNA from 1 species